rnacentral:rRNA from 1 species
GAUGAACGCUGGCGGCGUGCCUAAUACAUGCAAGUCGAGCGAACGGACGAGAAGCUUGCUUUUCUGAUGUUAGCGGCGGACGGGUGAGUAACACGUGGAUAACCUACAUAUAAGACUGGGAUAACUUCGGGAAACCGGAGCUAAUACCGGAUAAUAUUUUGAACCGCAUGGUUCAAAAGUGAAAGACGGUCUUGCUGUCACUUAUGGAUGGAUCCGCGCUGCAUUAGCUAGUUGGUAAGGUAACGGCUUACCAAGGCAACGAUGCAUAGCCGACCUGAGAGGGUGAUCGGCCACACUGGAACUGAGACACGGUCCAGACUCCUACGGGAGGCAGCAGUAGGGAAUCUUCCGCAAUGGGCGAAAGCCUGACGGAGCAACGCCGCGUGAGUGAUGAAGGUCUUCGGAUCGUAAAACUCUGUUAUUAGGGAAGAACAUAUGUGUAAGUAACUGUGCACAUCUUGACGGUACCUAAUCAGAAAGCCACGGCUAACUACGUG